AUCCAUCACUAAAAUUUAUUCAACCAAAACAUUGACGCGAAUCUGGUCACACCGGGUAUAAGAUCUGCUUCCGUUCGGCUGGACCCCGCAUGCUGCAUCGAUCUUCUUCCCCAACCAGGCCCGACGUAGGUUCUUUUCCUUCAAGCCACUCACAGGGAUUUUGGCCUCCAGAUCACGGCCCUCCCUGCACGCAGCAUGCUUUUUUCUUCCUCUUCUUCCCCUCCUUCUCUUUCUUCUUUUCUUCUCUGCCGCCCAU
rnacentral:lncRNA from 1 species